UACGAAGGGGGCUAGCGUUGCUCGGAAUCACUGGGCGUAAAGGGCGCGUAGGCGGCCAUUCAAGUCGGAGGUGAAAGCCCAGGGCUCAACCCUGGAAUUGCCUUCGAUACUGUUUGGCUAGAGACCGGAAGAGGUAAGUGGAACUGCGAGUGUAGAGGUGAAAUUCGUAGAUAUUCGCAAGAACACCAGUGGCGAAGGCGGCUUACUGGUCCGGUUCUGACGCUGAGGCGCGAAAGCGUGGGUAGCAAACAGG
rnacentral:rRNA from 1 species